CUGUCCAGCAAAGUCUGUCUUGAGUGUUGACUGUCCAUAACUGAAUUUUUAGAAUUUCAUCCACUAUUUGAGGUAGAAAAUUCUAGUGAAGGAGGGCUACAUUCCAGGCAUUCUGUUCAGGAAGGAUGUAGUCCGCAACCAUUUUAGGCUCUUCUCUUUUUGCUGGUCCCCCUAGCAUGCCAAUGUUUAACCAUUUAGCUUCUCUAGCAUUAAUAGAAGAUCCAUUUCCAACUGACCAUUGAAGUCCCUCAA
rnacentral:lncRNA from 1 species